CGGGAAUAAGGCUAUUGUUGUAGAACAAAACGCCGCAACCACUGCUGUGGUAAAUAUGUUCCAGCAGAACUGCCCACCGCCGUCGGUGUAAUGAUUUCGAUAGCUGAACAAACGCCAUCUCCUGGGCAUUCCCACAGCUUGCCGACACUAGCUAUUAUAUCACGUGUGAAUGCAACUGCGGCUUAAUUUGGUUAUUAACAGUGCAGUCGUACCAUGUCAUUGGCAAAAACACUAAGGGCUGCUGCCACAUAUAGGUUGUAAAGUUUUUGGUAUCGAUGAACAUACUCGAAGAAGACGAUGGCCGAAAACAUAUGAUGAAACAUCUUCUGGCAUGCCUUUGACAAUCGUUAAGUCAGACGGAGGCUUCACAUACGAUAUUUCACACAUGGCUGGAAUUCGUUAGCGGACAGAGCACACAUUUACAAAAUAUUUAUCGUUCAGCAGAACGUGCAUGCAUAUUCGAUUCCGAUUUUAUGGGUCGACUACGGAGGACAACCGAACUUCAGUUGGUUGGCCAGUGGCUGAAAUGGUAUUACCGAUGGCAACUAGCAACUGAAAGCUGGCAACUAAGUUGCUAUAUUGGCAAUGGCGCUGUCCAUCGGCAACCCAACUGAGGUUCCGUUCCCAUCCAUAAUCGAUCCAUAAGUCAUAAUCGCACGAACUAAUCAAGGCUAUCAUAGAAUCCAUCGUAGUCCGAUUUUUCGUGAAAUCUACGAAAAUGCUAUUAAGGUCGAAUAGCUACGAACGCAGCGCUUGCUUUGAAUACACAUAUUCAUAGCAGUUCAGAUUCAGUGAUCGCUUUUUCGUAGAUUUUAAGAAAAAUUGGACUACGAUGGAUUCCGCCACCAAUAUGUUUUCUCCUUUGACAAGAUGUUGGAGAAUCGCGGCAGCACAGCCGUAUACCUACUCUAUGCUCUUACGCGCAUAUGCUAAAUUUCUCGCACCUAGCUAAAGUGCUUGACAAAGGCAGAAGGCAUAUCUUCAACAUUAUAACUUAAAGUAAAAAAGUUUAAGGCAUGCAAUAAAAGAAUCAACAGAACCAAAAAAUGUU